UACGUAGGGGGCAAGCGUUGUCCGGAUUUAUUGGGCGUAAAGCGCGUGUAGGCGGCCAGGUAGGUCCGCUGUGAAAACCCGAGGCUCAACCUCGGGACGUCGGCGGAAACCAUUUGGCUAGAGUCCGGAAGAGGAGAGUGGAAUUCCUGGUGUAGCGGUGAAAUGCGCAGAUAUCAGGAAGAACACCCGUGGCGAAGGCGGCUCUCUGGGACGUGACUGACGCUGAGACGCGAAAGCGUGGGGAGCGAACAGG
rnacentral:rRNA from 1 species